GCUUUGGUGGCUCAAUCGGAUAGAGCGUUGGACUUCUAAUCCAAAGGUUGCGGGUUCAAGUCCCGCCCAGAGUA
rnacentral:tRNA from 1 species